CAUAGAAGACAUUUGCGGCACUGGCCGCAUUGCAAUCUCCCUUGCCUCCUUUUCCCUUUCCGGAUCUGCUCUCUCUCUCAAAACCAAAGAUGCCGCCGAGAUUGGCUUGUGCUGCAUCAGGUUUCGUUCGUACUCCUCUGUCGAACAAAGGUAUACUCAACACAUUCGUACGCUGUUCCACUGUUUUAUGCUAUCCGAGAUUGGCUUAUUCUGGUGUGAGAGACAGCGAUUUGUCGUACGGAGAGAGAUUGAGGUGUGGGUUUGGUAAUGGUGAUGUCGAUGAUGCUGUUGCUCUGUUCCAUCUGAUGGUUCGGUCUCGUUCCCCCCUCCCUUCAAUUAUCGACUUCAGUAAAUUAUUGAGUUCAGUCGUUAAGAUAGAAACGGUAGGAUAUAGUGAUUUCUCUCUGCAAGCAAAUGAAAUGGUUAGGAGUUUUGCAUGAUCUCUAUCAACUGUUUCUACCACUCAGAUCAAGUGGUUAGAACAUUUUCGGUUUUAGGGAAGAUCAUGACGUUGGUUUAUACGUGUGACGUUGUCACAUUUACUAACCUACUCAAUGGAUUCUACAUCGGGGCUGAAACUUCCGCUGUGCUAGGUUUGAUAGAGCUAAUGGUGGAGAAAGAUUGUCAACCCGAUAUAAUUUGGGCAUCAUGUUUUAGCUUUGGAUUUGAUCAAGAAGAUAGAUGAAAGAUGCAUUGAGGUCGAUGUCUUAACUUGUAUUACGAUUAUCGAUUGUCUUUGCAAAUUUGGAAACAAAUGAUGCAGAUAGCAUUUUUAGUAAGACGAUCGACAAAGGAGUUGCACCGGAUGUUAUCACCUACAAAGCUUUGAUAAACCGCAUUUGUGGUUUCGGUAGAUGGAAUGAUGCCACAUUAUUAUUGAAGGACAUGACCAAAAGGAAAAUCAAGCCUAAUGUUGUUAUUUUCAAUGGAUUACUCAACAUUUUUAUUAAAGACGGGAUAUUUCCAAAGGCUAACGAUGGAAAAGAGUGGGAUGGACUUCGAUAUAGUUGUAUUGUAUUAUUAUCAUUGUGUAAAGCUGAGAAGGUUGAUGAGUCAUUUCAGUUGUUCGAUAGACUUUUUGAUCAAAGGGCGGAACCGGAUAUGAAAACAUAUACUAUGGACUUUGUGGAAAAGGUUUACAAGGUGAAGCUCAAAGGCUGUUUAGAGAUACAAAAGAAGUUGAUUUUUUACCGGAUUAUUGCACGUGUAAUGCAAUCAUUCGUGGUCAGCUGAGGCAUGGUUCUACAUUGGAUGUUAUUGAGCUUAUAUGAGAAAUGUGAAGCCAUGAGUAUCAUGCUGAUGCAUCGGCAAUGAGUAUGGUAAUAGAUAUGGUAUCUGGUGGUAGAUUGGAGAAAGGGUUUGUGGAUCUUCUUUCUCAGUGAUUCGAUUAUCGCGAUGGUCACCUUGUACUCUCCCGUUUGGCAAUCACGGAGAGGUUAUCGAGCGCUGUUGGAGAUGGGAGGAGAUGGCAGAUUUUUCCUUCUUGCAUCUUGUACUUGAAACAUCAGUUUGAUUUCGUUUAACUGAAAUUGUACUUUGUUGUCAGUAACAUAAUAGGGUGGAUUCUCGUUCAACUUCUGUUUAGAAAUAAAAAAUGUAAUUGAGUAUUGCAUUUUCCCUAGAUUCUGUUUAUAUUUUCUUUA